UCAUUUUGCUGGAUCAGGUCACAUAUGGUUAAAUAUAUAAUAUUUUUAAUAUAGUAUUUAAUAAGAAUUGACUGCACAUUUUUAUUACUUUCUUGUAGGGAGAUUUAUCCUCCACCUUGUGAACAGGUCUCCCUCUUUCCCAAUCAUGAGGAUAGUUGAAUAUCUAAGAAGAGUUCUUUCUUCUUCAACCUUCAACUUUCAACUACUCAAUGAUCAAGAUCAUCACUGUGUGUUUCAACAGCUGAAAACGUGCUACGUUGAGCGCCAGUCGUCAUCCUAACAUCAAGCUCCACUCGUCAUCACGACGGUAAUCCCCAAAACUCCAACAGAACAAAAAUUUUUCUAAAUCUUAAACAAUAACAAUGAUUCAUUUUUAACAGUAGGCAUAUUUUAAAAUCCAUAGUUUGAUAGCAUAUUUAAAUUCAUGACAUUUCAACAGCUAGUAAUAAUAAUAAUACAUUUCUAUUGUAAGAACAGCUAUUGUGGUGAUGCGAGUUACGUUGUCACAGGUGAAGAUAAUGAGGAAAUUAAAUUGCUACAUUAUGAGACACAAUUGUUCUGAUCCUUCAAAAGUGGACAAAAAAGCAUAUUCAAGACAAGGGGGUAAAAUGACAAUCAAAAUAAAUCUAUUUCGACUGUCACUUGAAGUGAAAUGUGAAAUGUGUUGCGGUAUUACAUGAAUGCUCACGUACUAUGCGUUGAUCAUUACAACCAAUCGCACUGUUGAGCUCAGAAGGCAAUAACCAAUCAGAUGAGUUUAGAUUAGUUACCGGUGAAGAAAUUUUUUUUUACUGAUAUCGAGGGAGUUUUUGUCACUUUCGCGCCAUGUGCUCAGUCAGUGACGCAGGACUUUCUGAGGGGAAUUUCAGUCAGUGUGUGACGCACUCUAAAUAGGCUACUGCGCGUGGAAAAGUGCAGAUACAAUGCAAGUGUGGCCAUCUGUGUCCCUCUGGCGUGAUGAGGCCCUGCUCGAGUGGAGUUUGGAACUCAGACCUGCUGCCAAAUACUGAAUACAUCAAAAACUGCAGAUAGGAUCCAAAGAAAAGAUGAAGAAUGGAAAAGCACUUUGCUGGCAAAGAAAUUGGAAAAUAACACAGGUUACGCGCAUGUAUCCAUGGCAACGCUUGGCUGCGUCGACAGUUAACGGUCCUGCCGGUGAUUUUCUCAGAUGAGGCCUUGAGUAUUCUCUUUCGUCGGUCAAAAAGGUUAGAAGCCAUCGAAAAAACUGCCAUCGGACUACCACAGCUGACAACGAGAGACGCGCGUGCACAACUGCAUAACACACACACACACACACACACACACACACACACACACACACACACACACACACACACGGAAAGAGCACAACAAUUAUGAAACUGCUCAUUUAUUAUAAAUAAAUAAAUGUAUUUUUCUCCUUACAACGUGUUUGUGUUCUUUUGUUAACCUAGAAGUAAAAUAAAAAACAAUAAGAGGACUUAAUCGAAAGUCCCCUAAACGUCCCGAAUGGCCGUUGAACGUCCUGUGAACGUCCCCGUGAACGUCCGGAGGACGACUUUGCGGACGUCCCCGGGACAGCCAGAGGACCCUACACAUGGACGUUCGGGGGACGUUCGCAGAGGCCAUUCAGGGGACGUUCUGGGGACGUUUUUUUGUUAGCUGGGAUAUUACUUCUAUAUAAGUAUUACAUUAAUACAAUUUCAAUUAAAUGUUUGUUUAUAAAAAAAAAAAGAAAGUAAGAGAGAGAAAAUAUUACACUUAGUACAGCUAGUAAUUUAAUUUUAAAAUUAAAAUUGUUUAAUGGUCUAACUUAUGUUUAACAUGCUUGGUAGCAUUAAGAUCAGAGCACCUUUAAUUUAUGAUAGGGAGGUGGUGAUAAAUCACAUCAGACUUAAUGAUUAUUUAAAUUAAUUUUAUAUAAUUCAUGAAAGAAAACGCAAAGCAAAAUGUAUUAAAAAUGUAUUAAAAUGAACAUGAACUUGACUAAUUUAAUAAAAAAUGAAACAAGUAAAAUACUGAACAUUUAUGUAAAUUGUAAAUUUAAAAUUAACAUGAACUUGAGUAAACUUUAAAAAAAAAAAAAAUGAAACUAUUAAAAAAAUAGAAACACAACAAAAACUACAACAACAACAACAAAAAAAGAUUAUUCUAAAUUACUCAAACAUUUCACCCUCCAUGGCAUCCCCCAACAGUUCAAUAUGUUGCACAAUAUAUUUAUUGUGAGACAAUUUUAACAUUAUGGGGAGCUCAUCAGCACCAAUGUCCAUUGAUAUUUCUUCUGGGACACUGUACUCAUCAUAGGUGUCGGAGAGAAGCACCAUGGCACCUCCAUCUUCUGCCGAGACACCUACAAUGGUGACCACCUCCUCGACAGUUUGAAGUUCAGCCUUCUGAAAUGUAACAAUAUAAACAAGUCUCAGUAAAGGCGCUAUAUAACAAUGGACAUGAACACUAUUAAUGUUAGUUGACUACCUAAGUUAACAUGAUCUAACAAUGAAAAUACUUCUAAAACAUUUAUUAUUCUUCAUUAAUGCUUAGUUCAACAUUUACUAAAACACUAUCAAACUGAAAGUUGUGUAACUGUUGUAUUUUGUUGAUUAACAUCUGUAACAAAUAUUAAUAAGUACUGUAACAAAUGUGUUGCUCAGUGUUAAUGUAUAGUCAAUUCAUUAACAUUAAUAGGGCCUUAUUAUAUAGUGUUACCAAUAUUAUGAAAAUACCAAUGGAUAUAUAAAAAGUUCAAAAAUGUAUAUCCCCUUGGUACACAACUCACAAGUGUAGAAAGAUGAAGGAAAAAUCAAUUGGAGAAUAAUUUGGCUACAUGAUGCGUAAUGUAUGCUGUGUACCUCCACAGUUGUAUAGCUCGAGGAGUUAAAUUUGGCAGCAGGUUUGAGUGUUGCCUUGAGAUGUGAAAUCUCAACCUGAUCUCCCAAACUCAUCUCAUGAAGGGCCUCAUCACGCCAGAGGGAGACCUCGAAGCACUUCUGGCCACACCUCAGAGACAGGUCUCUGAUGGGGACCUCCCCAUCGGUCACCCGUGUCAUCCUGAUUACCUGCAACUACAUGAUCACAAUGGGAGAUGAAUCCUCCCCUUGUGAAAAGGUCGUCCUCUUCCCCUGUCACGAGGGCUGUUGGAGGACUGAGGAGAUCCGUCGCCUUCUUCUCCGCUGCCUCUGGCACGGUGAAAGGUGCUGUUUUAAAUUUCUUUGCCCCAGGGCCAAGAAAAAUACACUCCCGACCGAAUUUUAAGGACAAGACCUCAUAGGUCUUCGCACGGUGGUUUGUGCGAUUGUUCACACACAUGAGCUUGGUGGGAGUGGGCCUGCUGUAUGGAGAGCUUGCAGCUGCCAUUCUGGAGGGUAAGAGAAAAUACACAUUGAUUUAAUUAGCAUCAGAAGUGAAAGA